AACGAACGCUGGCGGCGCGUCUUAAGCAUGCAAGUCGGACGGCAAGGGUAGCAAUACCCCUAGAGUGGCGGACUGGUGAGUAACGCGUGGGUGACCUACCCUUGAGAUGGGGAUAGCCAUUAGAAAUAGUGGAUAAUACCGAAUACGCUCACGACCCUGUGGGGAUGUGAGGAAAUCAGGCUACGGCCUGGCUCGAGGAUGGGGCCGCGUCCGAUUAGCUCGUUGGUGAGGUAAAAACCCACCAAGGCGACGAUGGGUAGCCGGCCUGAGAGGGUGUACGGACACAUUGGGACUGAGAUACGGCCCAAACUCCUACGGGAGGCAGCAGCUAAGAAUAUUCCGCAAUGGACGAAAGUCUGACGGAGCGACGCCGCGUGGAUGAAGAAGGCCGAAAGGUUGUAAAAUCCUUUUGCUGAUGAAGAAUAAGUGUGGUAGGGAAUGACCGCAUGAUGACAUUAGUCGGUGAAUAAGCCCCGGCUAACUACGUGCCAGCAGCCGCGGUAA
rnacentral:rRNA from 1 species